CACGGGACGGAUUGCAAAUCCGUUCAUGCGGGUUCGAGUCCCGUCUAGCUCUCCAUAAGUAAACUUUGAUUG
rnacentral:tRNA from 1 species